rnacentral:tRNA from 1 species
AGUCCCUUAGUGUAAUGGAUAACACGAAACACUACGGAUGUUUUAAUGAGGGUUCGAAUCCUUCAGGGACUA